CUGUGUUGCAGCCAUGUUGUCCCGUACGGAUUUGGUUCGGUCCGACUGAGGCGGGAACUCAGCCGCUGCCUCUGCACACGCACACAGGACGCCGAGUGUGGGCACUUCUGCUCCGUGCAGACUCAGACACAAGAGGAAAAUGCACUGACGAAGAGGAAGACUGACAAACAAUUGAAGAGAUUCAGAGCUGCAUUCUGGGAAAAAAGAAGCCGCCACGCACUCAAACACCAGACCUGAGCCAAAGGAGCAGGAGUCGAUUAUGCAUCAGAUAUAUAAAGAGUGUGUGUGUGUGUAUUAAGUCCAUGUAAUGAUGAAGUGCAAAGAUAGGACUGCUGCUGUUUUUAACAUUUGGCUGACGGCACCCAGGGAGGUGGUUGAACCUGCGACCUUCGUGUUGGCGGGUGAUCUCGGAUGAUUUGUGUGUCUGAGAGAUGGAAAACAUUUCAGUUACACAGCCUCGGGAGGAGAAAGGCUCGGACGUUUUAAUUCUAAAUUAUUGCUGUUUUCUAAGCCAAAGAUCUGUCUUUAAGCGCUGAAAUAGACCGUUUUUUAGGAUUUUAUUUAACAAACGAUCAAAUGUGUAGAUCAUUUUAUACAGAGCUAAAAAAAUAAAGUAUUUUAUUAGAUAAAGGAGUCUUUUAAAAUCUGGCAUUUAAUAUUUCAGGACAGCGACAGAUAAAGUUAUUAAAAACAACUCAAAGAUAUUUAACUCUUAAGGGUUUUUUGAGCAAAAAGUUGUAAUUUGAGAGAGAAGUUUAAAUUUCACAAAAGAAAAGUUACAUUCUGACACAGUUGUGAUACAACGAGAAUUAAGUCAAGGAAAAAAAUCACUAUUUCAUGAUACCAUGAAAAUAAAGUCAUGAGAAAACAUUUUGAGAGCCGUGUUUUAUGUUAUGAUUUGGUUAGAUUGGGUUACAUGUGCAUGUUUAAAUAAUUCCUGACUCUA